AUGUGCCAUGUGCUGUUUUGGAGAAUACAGUGGUAAACAAAACUAAUUCUCUACCCCAAUGAAGUUUACAUUGUACUAAAGAAGAUAAACAAAUAUGCAUGAAGUCAGAAUUAAGGGCUGUGAUACAAAAUGAAGCAGGGCAGUUGCUGAGAGUGACUGGAGCGCUAUUUUAUGGUCAUUGGAGAAGACCUCUCUGUGAAGGUGACGUUGGAGCAGAGACAGAAAUUGAAUGAGAAAGCAAGCUGUGUCCCAUCAGGGGGAAGGGCAUUCUGGGUAGAGAGAUGAGCAAGUCAGAAGCCUUGAAGUGGGAACAUGCCCCACCCGUUUGAAGACUUGCAAGGAGGCUAAAGUGGCUGGAGCAGAGAGAGUAGGGGGAGGAGCGGCAGGGAAAGAGAUGAGAGAAGCAGCCAGAGGCCACAUCACGCAGGUCAGGGAAAGGACUUAGAAUUUUUUUCAAAGUAUGAUGGGAAACCUUGGAGAGCUUUGAGAUGGCAACAACAAGAUCUCGUUUGCAUUGCAAAGGGUCUUCCGGGCUGUUGCUUGGAGAGCCUGCCUUAAGGGAAGCAGAGGCGAAGCGGCUGGGGAAGCCCUUGUGAGGAUGUCUUCACUUGAUGGGGCAGCCCCUGGGAGAGCAGCCAGCACUUCCUGCUCCUGAAUAUACUUUGAUCCCAGACUGAGGUACUGUGACCAAAGCAAGCAGAUUCCUUGAUCUUACUGUGGGGCUGAGACAACUGUGUUUCCAUCCUACCUGGAGGGGUGGAUGCGUUUUACUAUUGUUAAAAGAUAAACUGAGGCAUAUUACAUUUUUAAGAGUUUACUUGAGUGAAAAUCAAUUCUGAUCGGGCAGCGCCAAGCCGGAAGUGGUGAGGAGGCUCCACCACGAGGAGCUGGUGGAAGAUAUUUGCAGAGAAGAGGUGGAAGCAGAACGUUUAUAGGGGCAGAAGAGUUCUUUGAUCCGUUCAGGAAAUCCAUCAUUUCUGCUUCUUUGCUUUUCUGGCAUUGUGCCAAUGAUGAACAGAACACUGAAUCUGCCUCUCAAGAAUCCCACAGUUCAACAGAUGACACAAAUCAAACACAGAAAAUGAUAGAAAGUGUGAUAAGAACUAUAAGGGAGGCAUGCACGGAGUCCAAAGGAGCAGACUCCUCAGUAAAGUCUUGAAUGGCACAGAACUCCUAAAACCCUUGGAAUUGCCUACUGAUAAGAGCAAUGAGAACAUCUUUGAUAUAAUAUAGUAUUUAGUCUUUUGUCCUCCAUUCCUGAAAUAGCUACAGAGCCAUAAAAGUAAAAGGAGUAUCUCUUGAUUCAUAACAAGUCCCUUUCCACCACAUGUGAGUUUAUGUUAAUGAGUUGACUUUCAUAAAGUCCCUAAGGUUGGGAGCUGGUUGCCAGGGGAACCAACUGUGUGAUUAGAGGGCCAGAGCUUUCAGUCCCACUCCUCCAUCUCUGGGGAGGAGGGAGGAGCUGGAGGUUGAAUCAAUCACCAAUAGCGAGUGAUUUAAUCAAUCAUGCCUACAUAAUGAAGCCUCCAUAAGAACCCUAAAGGAUGGGAUUCCAAGAGCUUCUGGGUUGGUGAACAUGUGGAGGUGCUAGAAGGGUGGCAUGCACUGAAGCUCUGUACUCCUUCCCUCAUACCUUGCCCUUUGCUUGUCUUCCACUGGGCUAUUCCUGAGUUAUAUCCUUUCAUAAUAAAUCAGUAAUACAGUAAGUAAACUGUUUUCUGGAGUUUUGUGAACUGUUCCAGGAAAUUAAUUGAAUCUGAGGAGGCGUUCAUAGGAACCUCCGAUUUAUAAUCAGUGGGUCAGAAGCACAGGUAUCAACCUAGACUUGGGAUUGUCGUCUGAAGGGAGGGGAGCAGUCUUGUGGGAAUGAACACUUAACUUGUGAGAUCUGACACUAUCUCCAGAUGGAAAGUGUCAGAAUUGAGUUAAAUUAUAGGACACCCAUUGCUGUUGCAGAAUUGCUUGAUGUGUGAAAAACCCACACAUCUCGUGUCGGAAGUGAAGUUGCCGAGUAUUAUGGUAGAGUGUCGAAAGUAGAGGAGACACGCAGGAGGAGUGUGUUUUUCCUUUAGAGGAUUCUGGAGUCAAAAAGGAAAUUUAAUUAUUAAAAACAGAAAAAGAAGAUCUCCGGCCCACCUAAAUGUGUCACGUCCCCUAGAAGUUUGAAACACGAGCAGUGGUGUGUGCUCAAGCUGGCUCAUACUGGCUCAUGAGAGCUAAUUGUUAAAUUUUCAGGUAUUUUGUUAGCUGGUUGUUAAACACAGCCAUUAUGAAAUAUUAAAUGAUAUCAACUUAUAAUAAAUACGUUAUAUUAAAA
rnacentral:lncRNA from 1 species